AUACCAUCCCGAGCGGCCGAGAGAUCUGGCUCGUCGACGCCGCAGCAACCCACCGAUCCGUCGGAAGGGUGCUACCGCCAGGAUCGAUGGAGU
rnacentral:ncRNA from 2 species